GGAAGUAAAAGUCGUAACAAGGUUUCCGUAGGUGAACCUGCGGAAGGAUCAUUAAAAAAUAAAAAUUACAUUCUGUUUUAAUUUAACAAAACCUUAUAAAUAAAUCUAAUACCAAAAUUUCUUAAAACUUUCAACAACGGAUCUCUUGGUUCUCGCAUCGAUGAAGAACGCAGCGAAAUGCGAUACGUAAUACGAAUCGCAGCUCUCGGAAUCAUCGAAUCUUUGAACGCACAUUGCACCAAGGGGUAUUCCCCUUGGUAUGCCUGUUUGAGCGAAAGAUUCUUCUAAUCUUUUGGAUUGUUUUGUAUUGAUAAAAGUUAUUGAAAAUAUUAUACAAUAUUAUAUUUUCCUCUACUUUUUUCCUCAAAUCAGGUAGGACUACCCGCUGAACUUAAGCAUAUCAAUAAGCGGAGGA
rnacentral:rRNA from 1 species